rnacentral:rRNA from 1 species
UUGACGGUACUUCAUCACGACCUAGAGGAGCCUGUCUGAUAACCGACAAUCCACGAUUAACCCAACCCUUUCUCGCCCAACAGUCUAUAUACCGCCGUCGCCAGCUUACCUUGUAAAAGAAAUGAAGUGAGCCAAACAGUACUGCACUAAAACGACAGGUCGAGGUGUAACCCAUGAAAGGGAUUAAGAUGGGCUACAUUCUCCUACCGAGAAUACGAAUAGCACUAUGAAACUAGUGCCUGAAGGCGGAUUUAGCAGUAAGAUAGGAAUAAAACACCUAACUGAAUACAACGCAAUGAAGUGCGUACACACCGCCCGUCAUCCCUGCCACACA